ACUUGGGAUCAGCCUAGGGGUAUUGCACACUGGAUCCCAUUAGAACUCCACAAUUAAGCGCGCUCAGGCUAGAGUAGUACUAGGAUGGGUGACCACCCAGGAAGUCCUAGUGUUUUACAUG
rfam:Picea glauca, whole genome shotgun sequence.